rnacentral:rRNA from 1 species
AGCCUGAACGCUGGCGGCGUGGCUAAGACAUGCAAGUCGCACGGUGUAGCAGUACACAGUGGCGAACGGGUGAGUAAUGAAUCGCUAAUGUACCCCGGACUCUGGGAUAGCCAGUCGAAAGACUGGGUAAUACCAGAUGAUAUGCAGCUGUCGCAUGACAGUUGCCUCAAAGGUCCGCCGGUCUGGGAGCAGGCGAUUUCGUAUCAGCUAGUUGGUGAGGUAACGGCUCACCAAGGCGACGACGCGUAGCCGGACUGAGAGGUUGGCCGGCCACAUUGGGACUGAGACACUGCCCAGACUCCUACGGGGGGCUGCAGUAACGAAUCUUCCGCAAUGCACGAAAGUGUGACGGAGCGACGCCGCGUGUAGGAGAAGCCCUUGGGUGUAAACUACUGUCAGGGUUAGAAAGUUCUGAUCAACCCGAGAGGAAGCACGGCUAACUCUGUGCCAGCAGCCGC